rnacentral:lncRNA from 1 species
ACGUGUGCCUCUAGCCCUUAUGUUUGCAUUUUUGAGCACUUCCAACUUCAAUUGAUAUUUCUCCAUGGGUGGCUGCAAUUUGGCAUUAAGUUUAGGAAAAACAAAUUCUACCUUAUCUGGAGGUUUGGGCAAGCAUUGAUCUGCAUGCUCCUUUGGUUUGGGCCAUUGGACUACCAUUUGUUCCUUCUGGGCAUGGACUGUUUGCAUUGGAAGGAUGAAAGGAGUUUCAGUUUCCUCCUUCUGCAUAGGACCUAACUGAGGUGGAAGACUGAUUUGUGUUGGAAGCUGAAAGGACGCGCCUGAGAGGAUUUCAGGUACUCCUUCUUGCGCAAGAUUGAUCUGCAAUGGAGGAAUGAAAGGAGUUUCAUUCGAUGGAAGCUGAAGAGGUGCAACUAGAAGAGUUGCAGGACUGUCCUGCGGUCCAAGCUGAGGUGGUUCAGUUGGAGUUCCUUCUGACUGCGCAAGAUUGAUAUGAAGAGGUGUGAUUGGCUCUCCUUUGAUCUGUGCGUGUUCGCAGUCCACCUGUUGGAUGUAACAAUUAGUUUCUUUCAGUUCUGGCUCUUUUUGGCUCUCUU